GGGAGAACCUAGCUGACCUGCGAUCGACAGAAGGUCGCUAUGUGUCCUCUGAAACGUUGAGUCCGACUGACUCGAAUAUGAUGGUUGUGAGGGAACAAACACCGUCGGAAGCGCUUGCAAUAGUCCCGAUCCAGGUUUUUGUGCCGGCAUCCCAAACAACCCCUGAGACAGAUUUCGAACCAACCCCUAUGCUACGGAUUGAAGGGACUACAGAAAAGUAAGAAAUAGUAUUGGGUGUAUAUUUGUUUAGGGUUUGGGUGUAUAUUUGCAUACAGUUUGGGUGUAUAUUGUUCCUGAUCAAUUUUUUCUUUACGCC